rnacentral:rRNA from 1 species
AACCCGCUACCGAGCAACGAUCGGAGGGCAAGUCUGGUGCCAGCAGCCGCGGUAAUUCCAGCUCCGAUAGCGUAUAUUAAAGUUGCUGCGGUUGAAGAGCUCGUAGUCGGACCUCUGCGGGCCGCGCGGGUCCCGGCCCGCCCCGAGCGGGCGCGCGCCGGACCCCGCGGCCCCUUUCCCGUCCGGGACGCUCCCCCCCCCUUUUCCCGCGAGGGAGGAGGGGGCCCGGGGGGCCCCGGACCAUUUACCUCGAAGAAACCGGGGUGUCCAAGGCGGGCCCGUCCGAGACGGCGCCUCGAACGUCGCAGCACGGGAUAACCAUCGCGGGCCGGGCCCCCGAUAUGACGUCGGUCCCGGGGGCGCGGCGCACGGUCGAAGGGGACGGUCGGGGCCAUCGAUACUUCGUCGUCAGAGGUGAAAUUCUCGGAUUGACGAGAGAUCGACGAGGGCGAAGGCUUUUGGCGAGGACGCCCCCCUCGAUCAAGAACGAAAGUUAGGGGAUCGAAGACGAUCAGAUACCGUCGUAGUCUUAACCGUAAACGAUGCCGACCGGGGAUCGGGGGGCGUCGCGCGCGUCGACCCCCCCGGCGCCCCGCGGGGAACCGGAGUCUUCGGGUUCCGGGGGGAGUAUGGUCGCAAGGCCGAAACUUAAAGGAAUUGACGGAAGGGCACCACCAGGAGUGGAGCCUGCGGCUUAAUUUGACUCAACACGGGGAAACUCACCGGGUCCGGACAUAAAAAGGAUUGACAGAUUGAGAGCUCUUUCUUGAUUUUAUGAGUGGUGGUGCAUGGCCGUUCUUAGUUGGUGGAGUGAUUUGUCUACUUAAUUGUGAUAACGAACGAGACCUCAGCCUGCUAAAUAGUCACGCAAACCUUUCGCAAAGGCUUCUUUCUUUGGAGAGAUCCCCUCGAAAGGGGGGGUUUUGAAGGGGGAAGGGUUGAAUGGUUUGUGGCUUGACUUCUUAGAGGGACUAUCGGAGUUCAUUCGAUGGAAGCUUGAGGCAAUAACAGGUCUGUGAUGCCCUUAGAUGUCUCGGGCCGCACGCGCGCUACACUGGCAGAUUCAAUGAGUUCCACACCUUGGUUGUGAAGCCCGGGUAAUCUUUCGAAAAUCUGCCGUGCUGGGGAUAGAUUAUUGCAACUAUUGAUCUUGAACGAGGAAUUCCUAGUAAGUGUUAGUCAUCAGCUAACGUUGAUUACGUCCCUGCCCUUUGUACACACCGCCCGUCGCUCCUACCGAUUGGAUGAUCCGGUGAAAUGUUCGGAGGAGAGGUCAACACAUUUUUCUCUUUCGGGGGGGAAGUGUGUCUUUCCAAAGUUCAUUAAACCAUAUCAUUUAGAGGAAGGAGAAGUCGUAACAAGGUUUCCGUAGGUGAACCUGCGGAAGGAU